CCUACGGGUGGCAGCAGUGAGGAAUAUUGGUCAAUGGACGGAAGUCUGAACCAGCCAUGCAGCGUGCAGGAAGAAGGCUCUAUGAGUUGUAAACUGCUUUUGUACAAGGGUACACCUGAAUACGUGUAUUCAGCUGAACGUACUGUACGAAUAAGGAUCGGCUAACUCCGGGCCAGCAGCCGCGGUAAGACGGAGGAUCCAAGCGUUAUCCGGCUUUAUUGGGUUUAAAGGGGGCGUAGGCGGAUUGAUAAGUUAGAGGUGAAAUGUCCGAGCUUAACUCGGGAACUGCCUCUAAUACUAUUGAUCUAGAGAGUAGAUGCGGUAGGCGGAAUGUAAUGUGUAGCGGUGAAAUGCUUAGAGAUCAGACAGAACACCGAGUGCGAAGGCAGCUUACCAAGCUAUAUCUGACGUUGAGGCACGAAAGCGUGGGGAGCAAACAGGAUUAGAUACCCGAGUAGUC
rnacentral:rRNA from 1 species